rnacentral:rRNA from 1 species
AUUGAACGCUGGCGGCAUGCCUAACACAUGCAAGUCGAACGGGGGCAGCAAUGCCCUAGUGGCGGACGGGUGAGGAAUACGUAGGAACCGGCCCACGAGUGGGGGACAACCUGGGGAAACCCAGGCUAAUACCGCAUACGCUCGCGAGAGGAAAGCGGGGGACCUUCGGGCCUCGCGCUGGUGGACGGGCCUACGUCCGAUUAGCUAGUUGGUAGGGUAAAAGCCUACCAAGGCGACGAUCGGUAGCUGGUCUGAGAGGAUGAUCAGCCACACUGGGACUGAGACACGGCCCAGACUCCUACGGGAGGCAGCAGUGGGGAAUAUUGGACAAUGGGCGCAAGCCUGAUCCAGCAAUGCCGCGUGGGUGAAGAAGGCCUGCGGGUUGUAAAGCCCUUUAAGCGGGGAGAAAGCCGGGGUGUGAAUAGCGCCUCGGGGUGACGUUACCCGCAGAAUAAGCACCGGCUAACUCCGUGCCAGCAGCCGCGGUAAU